rnacentral:rRNA from 1 species
UACGGAGGUUGCGAGCGUUAUCCGGAUUUAUUGGGUUUAAAGGGUGCGUAGGCGGCCUGCCAAGUCAGCGGUAAAAUUGCGGGGCUCAACCCCGUACAGCUGUUGAAACUGCCGGGCUCGAGUGGGCGAGAAGUAUGCGGAAUGCGUGGUGUAGCGGUGAAAUGCAUAGAUAUCACGCAGAACCCCGAUUGCGAAGGCAGCAUACCGGCGCCCUACUGACGCUGAGGCACGAAAGUGCGGGGAUCAAACAGG